UACGGAGGGGGCUAGCGUUGCUCGGAAUUACUGGGCGUAAAGCGCACGUAGGCGGUCUUGUAAGUUAGAGGUGAAAGCCCGGGGCUCAACUCCGGAAUUGCCUUUAAGACUGCAUCGCUAGAAUUGUGGAGAGGUAAGUGGAAUUCCGAGUGUAGAGGUGAAAUUCGUAGAUAUUCGGAAGAACACCAGUGGCGAAGGCGACUUACUGGACACAUAUUGACGCUGAGGUGCGAAAGCGUGGGGAGCAAACAGG
rnacentral:rRNA from 1 species